GGAGAGCUGGCAGAACGGCGAUUGCACCGGUCUUGAAAACCGGCGUCCUCACGGACUUGGGGGUUCGAAUCCCUCGCUCUCCGCCA
rnacentral:tRNA from 1 species